GCUUUCCAGCUUGCAGAAGUCUCUUGAAAGAACUAGAGAACACUAAGGACCACACUCUCCUGCUGGAAAAGCGCCUGAAGAAGCUCUCUAGGGAGGGCAGCUCCCAUCACCUUCCACGCCAAGUCCGCCCAGGGCCAGUGUACAAACCAGCACCUGCUAGGAACCACCGGCCACGUGGGGGGCGUGGGAAAGCUUCUCCCACCAGCUUCCAUGUGUCCCCACGGGCUCCCCUGGCUCCUCUGGCCUCCAUGCCGUCAUCAGUCCCGAAGACCUCCAUAGAGUCCCUUGGGUCUCCAUCAUCCCUGAGCUCCUCCCAGGCAUCAGAGCCUCUGUGUCCCCUGAAGCACCCUUCACACCGGCCACCUGCGAGCACCCUAUCACCAAACCUGACCAGCUCCACAGAAUCCUUGGGGGAGACCCCACAUGCAGGCAGGCGGAGGCAGGGGUCCCGCUUUCCUCAGCCUGGAUGUGCCAACGCUGCUGGACGCACAAGACACCAAAAUCCCAGACACUCCCAUGGACACCGAAUAUCCGACAUCCACGAACAAUUGGGAAUCUCCUGAGGACAACUUGGAGAUGGAGUCUCACUCUGUUGCUCAGGCUGGAGUGCAGUGGCACCAUCUUGGCUCACCACAACCUCCGCCUCCCGGAUUCAAGCCAUUCUCCUGCCUCAGCCUCCCGAGUAACUGGGAUUACAGGCUUGUGCCACCGCACCCAGCUAAUUUUUGUAAUUUUAGUCGAGAGAAGGUGUCACCAUGUUGGCCAGGCUUGUCUUGAACUCCUGACCUUGAGAUAUCUGCCCACCUCAGCCUCUCAAAGUGCUGGGAUUAUAGGCUUGAGCCACCACGGCUGGAUGAAUCACAAAUUGUAAACCUGAAUAAAAUGCUGCAACCUCCAAUGAGAGG